GAUGAACGCUAGCGGGAGGCCUAACACAUGCAAGCCGAGCGGUAUUGUUUCUUCGGAAAUGAGAGAGCGGCGUACGGGUGCGGAACACGUGUGCAACCUGCCUUUAUCUGGAGGAUAGCCUUUCGAAAGGAAGAUUAAUACUCCAUAAUAUAUUAAUUGGCAUCAAUUGAUAUUGAAAACUCCGGUGGAUAGAGAUGGGCACGCGCAAGAUUAGCUAGUUGGCGAGGUAACGGCUCACCAAGGCAAUGAUCUUUAGGGGGCCUGAGAGGGUGAUCCCCCACACUGGUACUGAGACACGGACCAGACUCCUACGGGAGGCAGCAGUGAGGAAUAUUGGUCAAUGGGUGCAAGCCUGAACCAGCCAUCCCGCGUGAAGGAUUAAGGUCCUAUGGAUUGUAAACUUCUUUUGUAUAGAGAUAAACCUACCCUCGUGAGGGUAGCUGAAGGUACUAUACGAAUAAGCACCGGCUAACUCCGUGCCAGCCGCCGCCGUAACAC
rnacentral:rRNA from 1 species